rnacentral:lncRNA from 1 species
CUCAUGUUGCAAUGACAUUAGUUCAUUUCUGCAAAAUUGAACUCUGGUGGUAAUAUUGCCAAAGGUAUUUGUAUUCCACUCCUUUAGUGCUGCUUUACAGGUUUUGAGCUUUUGACAUAAGAUGUAAGGGGGGGAUCCAUGCACAUUAACAUUCCAAGCAGAUUUGAUAACAUCAAGAAAUUAAGGAUGAGUACUCCACAUGUUAAAGAAUCUAAACGGUUU